CACGUAGGGUGCGGAGCGUUGUCCGGAAUUAUUGGGCGUAAAGAGCUCGUAGGCGGUGUGUCGCGUCGGCCGUGAAAACCUGCAGCUUAACUGUGGGCUUGCGGUCGAUACGGGCAUCACUGGAGUUCGGCAGGGGAGACUGGAAUUCCUGGUGUAGCGGUGAAAUGCGCAGAUAUCAGGAGGAACACCGGUGGCGAAGGCGGGUCUCUGGGCCGAUACUGACGCUGAGGAGCGAAAAGCGUGGGGAGCGAACAGG
rnacentral:rRNA from 1 species